CCUACGGGUGGCAGCAGUGGGGAAUAUUGGGCAAUGGGCGCAAGCCUGACCCAGCCACGCCGCGUGAAGGAAGAAGGCUCUCGGGUUGUAAACUUCUUUUUGUGGGGAAGAGGAGAACACGGUACCCCUUGAAUAAGCCACGGCUAACUACGUGCCAGCAGCCGCGGGAAUACGGGGGUGGGAGGCGUUGUCCGGAUUUAAUGGGUUUAAAGGGCGUGUAGCCGGGAGGAAAAGGCAGAUGGGAAAUCCCGGGGCUCAAACGCGGAACUGCAUGUGAAACCGUUUUUCUUGAGUACCGGAGAGGUAAUCGGAAUGCGUUGUGUAGCGGUGAAAUGCGUAGAUAGAAGGAAGAACACCAGUGGCGAAGGCGAAUGACUGGACGGCAACUGACGGUGAGGCGCGAAAGCGUGGGGAGCAAACAGGAUUAGAUACCCGGGUAGUC
rnacentral:rRNA from 1 species